CUUGUUUCCAUGCAGUUCAGUCCUCUUUCAGGUUAUCUUACCUGAGAUUGGUGCCAGUGCAUUGCACAAAGAGCAACAACUACUCAAACGCCCUACAAAUACUCUUUUGACUGGAAGACAACAAAUUCCUGCAGACACACUCUAAAUAUUUGGAGGAAGCCCUUACAGGGCUAUUUAGUAGCUCCAAUUAACCUGAGAGUCAUUGGACUGUGGGAGGAAACCGAACCCACAUGGACAUGGACAUGGGGAGAACUUGCAAACUCCAAAUGGAAAGGACCUGCACAACCUGGGAAUCAAACCAAGGACCUUCUUGCUGUAAGAUGACUAGGUGCUACCCUCCAAUCCACUGUGCCGUCCCUCGAUUGUAAUGUUUCCUUAAUUUUUUUUGUAAUAGUAAUAAGUGUUUUG